UUUUCUGGGUUAAGUAAUAUUAUUAUCCAUUGUCUGACAUCUUCCAUAUCUGCUUGUCGUAGCUCUUUUGAAUUAGAGUAAAUUAUUUGAUGAUCUCUCGAAUAAUAGCUCCAUAUUGGGUUUCCAUUAGUAUAAUUAUUUGCUAGUUCUUGGAUAAUCGUAGCUAGUCCAAUAAGUCAUUUAUUUGCAUAGAAGUCGGGUAUCUCAAUUCUGGGUAUCUCCGGUUGCUGUGUAAUAUCUUCUGGUAUGAUCAUAUCUCUAGUUAGUCC
rnacentral:lncRNA from 1 species